GCGGUUCGCCGCCGACGACGUCGCGAGAAGUCCACUGAACCUUAUCAUUUAGAGGAAGGAGAAGUCGUAACAAGGUUUCCGUAGGUGAACCUGCGGAAGGAUCAUUGUCGAGGACCGAACGAGAGGGUAGACCCGCGAACAUAGUGACCCGCGCAAAUCGGGAGGGGGCGGGGGCGCGGCUGCCCCCGUCGAAGCGCCGGCGUGAGGCCGGCGAUCCCUCCCGCCGCGGCACCGGCGCUAGGCCGGGCGCGGAGAACACGACCGAGGCACCCACGGCGCGAUUGGCGCCAAGGACCAGAAGAGGAGCGAGGGAGGUGGACGACGGGAGGCGCUUCCGGGCGCCCCGUCGGCCCCCUCUCGCCGCGAGAGGGACUCGAAAAGAACGGACGACUCUCGGCAACGGAUAUCUCGGCUCUCGCAUCGAUGAAGAACGUAGCGAAAUGCGAUACUUGGUGUGAAUUGCAGAAUCCCGCGAACCAUCGAGUCUUUGAACGCAAGUUGCGCCCGAGGCCACCCGGCCGAGGGCACGCCUGCCUGGGCGUCACGCACCGCGCUGCCCGCACCCAGCUCGGGUCGCGGGCGGAAACUGGCCGACCGUGCGCUCCGGCGCGCGGCGGGCUGAAAGCCAUCGAGUGCCCCCCGGAGGGGUGUCGGCACGGCGUUGGGUGGUCAUGAGGGCUCUCGGAGCCGCUCCGAUCGGACGCCGCGUUCGCCGCCCGCCCCGAGGGGGACCAAGGCGCCCCAGACGACCGCGUCGCGACCCCAGGUCAGGCGGGGCCACCCGCCGAGUUUAAGCAUAUAAAUAAGCGGAGGAGA
rnacentral:rRNA from 1 species